rnacentral:rRNA from 1 species
UACGGAGGGUGCAGGCGUUAAUCGGAAUUACUGGGCGUAAAGCGCACGCAGGCGGUUUGUUAAGUCAGAUGUGAAAUCCCCGGGCUCAACCUGGGAACUGCAUCUGAUACUGGCAAGCUUGAGUCUCGUAGAGGGGGGUAGAAUUCCAGGUGUAGCGGUGAAAUGCGUAGAGAUCUGGAGGAAUACCGGUGGCGAAGGCGGCCCCCUGGACGAAGACUGACGCUCAGGUGCGAAAGCGUGGGGAGCAAACAGGAUUAGAUACCCUGGUAGUCCACGCCGUAAACGAUGUCGACUUGGAGGUUGUGCCCUUGAGGCGUGGCUUCCGGAGCUAACGCGUUAAGUCGACCGCCUGGGGAGUACGGCCGCAAGGUUAAAACUC